AAAGCUCAAAUUUAAAAUCUGGCGGUCUUUGGCCGUCCGAGUUGUAAUCUAGAGAAGCGUCUUCCGCGCCGAGCCGUGUACAAGUCUCUUGGAACAGAGCAUCAUAGAGGGUGAGAAUCCCGUCUCUGACACGGACUUCCGGUGCUAUGUGAUGCGCUCUCGACGAGUCGCGUUGUUUGGGAAUGCAGCGCUAAACGGGUGGUAAAUUCCAUCUAAAGCUAAAUAUUGGCGAGAGACCGAUAGCGAA
rnacentral:rRNA from 1 species